UACGAAGGGGGCUAGCGUUGCUCGGAAUCACUGGGCGUAAAGCGCACGUAGGCGGAUUGCUAAGUCAGGGGUGAAAUCCUGGAGCUCAACUCCAGAACUGCCCUUGAUACUGGCGGUCUCGAGUCCGGGAGAGGUGAGUGGAACUGCGAGUGUAGAGGUGAAAUUCGUAGAUAUUCGGAAGAACACCAGUGGCGAAGGCGACAUACUGGCUCAUUACUGACGCUGAGGCUACGAAAGCGUGGGGAGCAACAGG
rnacentral:rRNA from 1 species